CCAUGUUUUGAUGAAUGGCAAUGUUCAACUGCUCUGAACCAGUGACUGAUAAAAGCCUUUCUGAACUUGU
rnacentral:snoRNA from 1 species